rnacentral:rRNA from 1 species
AUACGGAGGGUGCGAGCGUUAAUCGGAAUUACUGGGCGUAAAGCGUACGUAGGCGGUUGGUUAAGUGAGAUGUGAAAGCCCCGGGCUUAACCUGGGAACUGCAUUUAAAACUGGCGAACUAGAGUUGAGUAGAGGGGAGUGGAAUUUCAGGUGUAGCGGUGAAAUGCGUAGAGAUCUGAAGGAACACCAGUGGCAAAGGCGACUCCCUGGACUCGAACUGACGCUGAGGUACGAAAGCGUGGGUAGCAAACGGGAUUAGAUACCCUAGUAGUCC